UUUUAGAUCUGACAGUAGAGAUUGUAGAUCUGAUGGUGGAGACUUUAGAUCUGACGGUCGAGACUUUAGAUCUGAUAAAGGAGACUUUGGAUCUGAUGGUGGAGAUUGUAGAUCUGACAGUGGAGGUUUUAGAUCUGACAGUGGAGACUUUAGAUCUGAUGGUGGAGAUUUUAGAUCUGAUGGUGAAGACUUUAGAUCUGAUGUGGAGUCUUUAGAUCUGUUGGUGAAGUCUUUAGAUAUGACAGUGGAGACUUCAGAUCUGAAAGUGGAGAUUUUAGAUUUGACUGUGGAGACUUUAGACCUGACAGUGGAUAUUUUAGAUCUGAUGGUGGAGAUUUUAGAUCUGACUGUGGAGAUUCUGGAUCUGAUGGUGGAUACUUUAGAUCUGAUGGUGAAGACUUUAGAUCUGACAGUGGAGAUUUUAGAUCUGACAGUGGAGACUUUAGAUGUGACGGUAGAGACUUUAGAUCUGAGAGUGGAGACUUUAGAUCUGAUGGUGGAGACUUUAGACCUGACGGUGGAGAUUGUAGAUCUGACAGUGGAGAUUCUACAUCUGACUUUAGAUCUGAUGGUGGAGUCUUUAGAUCUGAUGGUGGAGACUUUAGAUCUGACAGGGGAGACUUUAGAUCUGACAGGGGAGACUUUAGAUCUGAUGGUGAAGACUUUAGAUCUGAUGGUGAAGACUAUUUUAGGUCUGACGGUGGAUAUUUUAGAUCUGACAAUGGACACUUUAGAUCUGCUGGUGGAGAUUUUAGAUCUGACGGUGGAGACUUUAGAUAUGACGGUGGAGACUUUAGAUCUGACGGUGGACACUUUAGGUCUGAUGGUGAAGACCUUAGAUCUUACGGUGGAGACUUUAGAUCUAACAGUGGAGACCUUAGAUCUGAAGGUAAAGACCUUAGAUCCAACGGUGGAGAUUUUAGAUCUGACAGUGGGGAUUUUAGAUCUGACGGUGGACUUUUUAGAUCGGCGGGUGGAGACUUUAGAUCUAACGGUGAAGAUUUUAGAUCUCACGAUAGACUUUUUAGAUCACACGGUGGAGAUUUUAGAUCGGACAGUGGAGACUUUAGAUAUGAUGGUGGAGACUUUAGAUCGGACGGUGGAGACAUUAGGUCUGUCUGUGGUGAUUUAAGGUCUGACAGUGGAGAUUUUAGAUCUGACAUUGGAGAAUUUAGAUCAAACAGUGAUGACUUCAAAUAUCACAUGAAGAUUUGAGAUCUGAUGGUGGAGAUUUUGGAUCUGAUGGAGAAGACUUUAGAUCUGAUGGUGGAUAUGGAUCAGUUAGAUCUGAUGAUGAAGACAUUAGAUCUGAUGGUGGAGAUUUUAGAUCUGAUGGUGGAGACUUAAGAUCAGAUGGUGGAGACUUAAGAUCAGAUGGUGGAGACUUUAGAUCUAACGGUGGAGGUUUUAGAUCUGACAGUGAAGAUUUUAGAUCAGAUGGUGGAGACUUUAGAUCUGACGGUGGAGAUUGUAGAUCUGAUGGUGGAGAUUGUAGAUCUGACGUGGAGAUUCUACAUCUGAAGUUGGAGACUUUAAAUCUAAAGUGGAGACUUUAAAUCUGAUGUGGAGGCUUUAGAUCUGAUGGUGGAGAUUUUAGAUCUGAUGGUGGAGACUUUAGAUCUCAUGGUGGAGACAUUAGAUCUGAUGGUGGAGACAUUAGAUCUGAUGGUGGAGACAUUAGA
rnacentral:lncRNA from 1 species